AGCGAACGCUGGCGGCAGGCCUAACACAUGCAAGUCGAGCGCCCAGCAAUGGGAGCGGCAGACGGGAUAGUAACACGUGGGAACGUACCCUUCAGUUCGGAACAACCCAGGGAAACUUGGGCUAAUACCGAAUACGUCCGUAAGGAGAAAGAUUUAUCGCUGAAGGAUCGGCCCGCGUCUGAUUAGCUAGUUGGCGAGGUAAUGGCUCACCGAGGCGACGAUCAGUAGCUGGUCUGAGAGGAUGAUCAGCAUCACUGGGACUGAGACACGGCCCAGACUCCUACGGGAGGCAGCAGUGGGGAAUAUUGGAAAAUGGGCGCAAGCCUGAUCCAGCCAUGCCGCGUGGAUGAUGAAGGCCCUAGGGUUGUAAAGUCCUUUCGGCGGGGAAGAUAAUGACGGUACCCGCAGAAGAAGCCCCGGCUAACUUCGUGCCAGCAGCCGCCGUAA
rnacentral:rRNA from 1 species